AUGCCAUGUGGUGUGUUCGGCGGAGGGACCCAUCUGACCGUCCUGGGUCAGCCCAAGUCCGCACCCUCAGUCACUCUGUUCCCGCCCUCCACUGACGAGCUCGGCAACAACAAGGCCACACUGGUGUGUCUGGUCAGUGACUUCUACCCGGGAGCCGUGACAGUGGCCUGGAAGGAAAAUGGCAGCCCCGUCUCCCAGGGCGUGGAGACCACCAAGCCCUCCAAGCAGAGCAACAACAAGUAUGCGGCCAGCAGCUACCUGAGCGUGUCAGCCAGCAAGUGGAAAUCUGCCAGCCAGUACAGCUGCCAGGUGACCCACGAAGGCAGCACUGUGGAGAAGACAGUGGUCCCCUCGGAGUGUUCCUAGGACACUGAGCCCCCCACAUUCUGGGACUCUG